rnacentral:rRNA from 1 species
UACGAAGGGGGCUAGCGUUGCUCGGAAUGACUGGGCGUAAAGGGCGCGUAGGCGGUGUACACAGUCAGGCGUGAAAUUCCCGGGCUCAACCUGGGGGCUGCGCUUGAUACCUGUACGCUUGAGUUCGGAAGAGGGUCGUGGAAUUCCCAGUGUAGAGGUGAAAUUCGUAGAUAUUGGGAAGAACACCGGUGGCGAAGGCGGCGACCUGGUCCGAUACUGACGCUGAGGCGCGAAAGCGUGGGGAGCAAACAGG